AGGACGAACGCUGGCGGCGUGCUUAACACAUGCAAGUCGAGCGAGGCCCCUUCCUUCGGGAGGGGAGCCCUAGCGGCGAACGGGUGAGUGACACGUGGGCAAUCUGCCCCUAGCACUGGGAUAACUCCGGGAAACCGGGGCUAAUACCGGAUAUGACCUCUGAGGGCAUCCUCUGGAGGUGGAAAGGAUUCUGGCUAGGGAUGAGCCCGCGGCCUAUCAGCUAGUUGGUGGGGUAAUGGCCUACCAAGGCGACGACGGGUA
rnacentral:rRNA from 1 species